GAUGAACGCUGGCGGCGUGCUUAACACAUGCAAGUCGAACGGUGAAGCAGGAGCUUGCUCCUGUGGAUCAGUGGCGAACGGGUGAGUAACACGUGAGCAAUCUGCCCUGGACUCUGGGAUAAGCGUUGGAAACGACGUCUAAUACCGGAUACGAGGCGUGGGGGCAUCCCCAACGCCUGGAAAGAACUUCGGUCCAGGAUGAGCUCGCGGCCUAUCAGGUAGUUGGUGAGGUAACGGCUCACCAAGCCUACGACGGGUAGCCGGCCUGAGAGGGUGACCGGCCACACUGGGACUGAGACACUGCCCAGACUCCUACGGGAGGCAGCAGUGGGGAAUAUUGCACAAUGGGCGCAAGCCUGAUGCAGCAACGCCGCGUGGGGGACGACGGCCUUCGGGUUGUAAACCUCUUUUAGCAGGGAAGAAGCGAAAGUGACGGUACCCGCAGAAAAAGCACCGGCUAACUACGUGCCAGCCGCCGCAGUAAUAC
rnacentral:rRNA from 1 species